CCUGGUAUUCCCAUUCACUCAUUUUCUCUUUCUCAGGUGUGUGAUCUGAGUCAAUGAUCCAAUGGGAAGUUUCAACAAACUCUCUGACAGCGAAGGCAUGACAGAAAGCUUUGAAGGGGAUCAGAAGCACUGGAGUUACGAUGAACAGGGCUACGCCAGUUUCAGAGAAGUGUCCACGCCCAACAACAUCCCACCUGAGAACAAAGCAAAGGUUGAAAACCUGUGCUGCCCCCUACUGUACAUUGUGGGUUAAGACGACUUGAGCUGUGCCGCUAUUGAGAAGGCAGAUGAGAUUGAGAAGAAGCUUAAAGAUGUUGGUAGAUCCCACCUGUUCACCCGCCUGUCAUAUCCAGGUGCUGGUCACCUGAUUGAGCCACCCUACACCCCCAACGCACAUGCCUCCAUGUGGACCAAACAACCACAGAAACUGAUCACUCUCUGGGGAGGGCACCUGGUACCGCAUGCUGCCACCCAAGAGGACGCCUGGAAGAGGACCCUGGAAUUUAUG